rnacentral:rRNA from 1 species
GAUGAACGCUGGCGGCGUGCAUAAUACAUGCAAGUCGAGCGAACAGACGAGGAGCUUUCUCUUCUGACGUUACCGGCGGACGGAUGAGUAACACGUGGAUAACCUACCUAUAAGACUGGGUUAACUUCGGGAAACCGGAGCGAAUACCGGAUAAUAUAUUCAACCGCAUGGUUCAAUAGUGAAAGACGAUGUUGCUGUCACUAAUAGAUGGAUCCGCGCUGCAUUCGGUAGUUGGUAAGGUAACGACUUACGAAGGCAAAGAUGAGUAUCAGACCUGAGAGGGUGAGCGGCCACACCGGAACUGAGACGCGGUCCAGACUCCUACGGGUGGCAGCAGUAGGGAAUCUUCCGCAAUGGGAGAAAGCCUGACGUAUCAACGCCGCGUGAGUGAUGAAGGUCUUCGGAUCGUAAGACUCUGUUAUUAGGGAAGAAGAAAUGUGCAUGUAACUAUGCACGUCUUGACGGUACCUAAUCAGAAAGCCACGGCUAACUACGUG